AUACUUACCUGGUGCCGGGGCCUCGUUGAACAACAAGGACGAGCCCCCAGGGCAAGUUCGGGCAUUGCACUGUGCUCGCGUUGACCCCUGCCACUACCCCAAACAGGGGCAAACGGGGCAUGCAAAUUGC
rnacentral:snRNA from 1 species